ensembl:lncRNA
AGGAGAGCAAACACAGCCGUUUAUUACAGCAUCAGUGUAUGGGAGGUGGUUUCCUUCACUUGGAUGAGGACAUAGUAUCAUGAAUUCGCGGGGAUCUCGCGUACGUGGUUUGAGAAUGUUUUAACGUUACUUGCCAUGAGCAUGAGCUUAUUCUGACUAUCUUUUGUUUCUGCAUUUCUUAAAUAUCUGUAUCCAAUAAAACACAUUACCAUAAUUCAAUGCAUUUACGAUGUAAUACAUGCUGUCCUGUGGCUAAAGGUAGGCUAUAUACAGCGAAUCAAUGAGUUACCAGCCGUCAUUUUUGGUCAGCAUAUGAUUCCUUACAGGCUUAGUGGUACAUUGUCGUGAUAGGAUUAUGGAAAGAGAAGAUUUACCACGCAAAGACUAAAAGGUGUGGAUUCUUUAAGGCGAAAGUUCAUAAAUUGAACGAUUAUGGAGAUAAGACCCCGAAACAAAUGAAAAGAGUUAUUUCUACCUUCAGGCAAUGACUUAAAAGUGGAUCGUCUGUGAACGUCCAUAAUGGCUGACACUGUUUUCCUGUGGAUGGCCUACACUUCAGUGUAAAAACACAAAAGGAAGCUGUCACACGUCUCGAGUUUGCUCUAAAGGGAGGUGGAUACAUAUCAAUCUGUACAUCCCCAGUUGCCCCAGGAACCCUUGUGAAAAUUCCAUCCUGAUCCAAAGACUUGAAACGUAAUGAGCCAAAACAUGUUUUUUCUUAUUAUAGUGCCAAUGAUUGCUGAAAUGGGGCCAUUCUUUAUGGACUCCCUUUGGACAAGGUCUUGAGUCAGUCCACCAAGUUAGAUGUAGAUACAUCAAACUGUUGCAGAGGU